UACAGCCACAUCAUGUUGAAAUACCGGUUCCUGUACAAUUACCAAAGUUAAGCAACACCGAGCCUGGUCAGUACCUAGAUGGGUGAUCACUUGGUAAUAACAGGUGCUGUAAG